rnacentral:rRNA from 1 species
UGCUGGCGACCGGCGCACGGGUGAGUAACACGUAUCCAACCUGCCUUUUACUCGGGGAUAGGCUUUCGAAAGAAAGAUUAAUACCCGAUGGUAUAAUAUUUCCGCAUGGGAUUAUUAUUAAAGAAUUUCGGUAAAAGAUGGGGAUGCGUCCAUUAGGCAGUUGGCGGGGUAACGGCCCACCAAACCUUCGAUGGAUAGGGUUCUGAGAGGAAGGUCCCCCACAUUGGAACUGAGACACGGUCCAAACUCCUACGGGAGGCAGCAGUGAGGAAUAUUGGUCAAUGGGCGGAAGCCUGAACCAGCCAAGUAGCGUGAAGGAUGACUGCCCUAUGGGUUGUAAACUUCUUUUAUAGGGGAAUAAAAUGAGCCACGUGUGGCUUUUUGUAUGUACCCUAUGAAUAAGGAUCGGCUAACUCCGUGCCAGCAGCCGCGGUAAUACGGAGGAUCCGAGCGUUAUCCGGAUUUAUUGGGUUUAAAGGGAGCGUAGGUGGACAUGUAAGCCAGUUGUGAAAGUUUGCGGCUCAACCGUAAAAUUGCAGUUGAUACUGUGUGUCUUGAGUACAGUAGAGGUGGGCGGAAUUCGUGGUGUAGCGGUGAAAUGCUUAGAUAUCACGAAGAACUCCGAU